rnacentral:tRNA from 1 species
GGUUCUGUAGUUUAUUGAAGACAGUAAGUUGCAGCCUUAAAGAAGGGUUUACUAACUCCAGAAUCU